AUGACGCGGCUGCCGCGGGAGGAGGUGGCUUCGAUCCUUUCCAGUCGGAUCCAUCCCGAUCGUGCCCCUUCUUUCUUCAAGGCACUGAAGCUCCAAAACCCCGACCUGAUUCCUUCUCCGGAAGAGGAGAUGGACAAGCUGAAGGUGAAGCGGUAUGCUAAUGCGCGCGGGUACUACGAGGCUGUAGAGGAAUUCAUCAAAUUUCAGGCCUGGGUAAGAAGUGAGUACGCCAAGAAUGGCUACGUCGAGAUCGAUGAGGACUACCUCGCUCACAGGUCCGAGAUCCAAGCAUGUAGCGACAGAGCACGGGAUGCUGCAUUCAGAGCAAUCGGCUUUUCUCAUGAAGCCGAAGAGCUCAAGAAUCAGUUUAGGAGGAGACAGUGA
rnacentral:rRNA from 1 species